AGAGUUUGAUCCUGGCUCAGAUUGAACGCUGGCGGCAGGCCUAACACAUGCAAGUCGAGCGGUAGCACAAGAGAGCUUGCUCUCUGGGUGACGAGCGGCGGACGGGUGAGUAAUGUCUGGGAAACUGCCYGAUGGAGGGGGAUAACUACUGGAAACGGUAGCUAAUACCGCAUGACGUCUUCGGACCAAAGUGGGGGACCUUCGGGCCUCACGCCAUCAGAUGUGCCCAGAUGGGAUUAGCUAGUAGGUGGGGUAAUGGCUCACCUAGGCGACGAUCUCUAGCUGGUCUGAGAGGAUGACCAGCCACACUGGAACUGAGACACGGUCCAGACUCCUACGGGAGGCAGCAGUGGGGAAUAUUGCACAAUGGGCGCAAGCCUGAUGCAGCCAUGCCGCGUGUAUGAAGAAGGCCUUCGGGUUGUAAAGUACUUUCAGCGAGGAGGAAGGCAUUGUGGUUAAUAACCACAGUGAAUUGACG
rnacentral:rRNA from 1 species